UGGGGAAUUUUGGACAAUGGGCGAAAGCCUGAUCCAGCAAUGCCGCGUGUGUGAAGAAGGCCUUCGGGUUGUAAAGCACUUUUGUCCGGAAAGAAAUCCUUGGCUCUAAUACAGUCGGGGGAUGACGGUACCGGAAGAAUAAGCACCGGCUAACUACGUGCCAGCAGCCGCGGUAAUACGUAGGGUGCAAGCGUUAAUCGGAAUUACUGGGCGUAAAGCGUGCGCAGGCGGUUUGCUAAGACCGAUGUGAAAUCCCCGGGCUCAACCUGGGAACUGCAUUGGUGACUGGCAGGCUAGAGUAUGGCAGAGGGGGGUAGAAUUCCACGUGUAGCAGUGAAAUGCGUAGAGAUGUGGAGGAAUACCGAUGGCGAAGGCAGCCCCCUGGGCAAUACUGACGCUCAUGCACGAAAAGCGUGGGGAGCAAAACAGGAUUAGAUACCCUGGUAGUCCACGCCCUAAAACGAUGUCAACUAGUUGUUGGGGAUUCAUUUCCUUAGUAACGUAGCUAACGCGUGAAGUUGACCGCCUGGGGAGU
rnacentral:rRNA from 1 species